AUUUAUAUCAUGGGAAUCAAUAAAUGCCACAAGUUAAGGCUUCCUCUCCUCUUCCUCCAUAGAAGGCCAGCUGUUAAACAUCUGUCUGCAGUCCACUGCCUUCUCUCCUUUCUCAAGCACCCUUUCAGCUUCUGGUUAAGAUUUAAAAGGCCAAUCUCUAUGCACUGUCACCUUUUGAAGAAUUUGAUAUCUUCAGGUUACAAACACGAGAGACACAAAUGUCAAAAUCUUGACAUUGCCCUUGAUUUCAGGCCCCAACACCUUCUAAACCAACCCUGGUCAUUUAUGUCCACUCCCGGCACCCCAAUCCACCUCAUAAAUCCUCAGUGACUCUGUCUGGGUGUAAGAAAGUC